AGAGCGAACGCUGGCGGCAGGCCUAACACAUGCAAGUCGAGCGCCCGUAGCAAUACGGGAGCGGCAGACGGGAUAGUAACACGUGGGAACGCGCCCUUCGGUUCGGAAUAACUCAGGGAAACUUGAGCUAAUACCGGAUACGCCCUUACGGGGAAAGAUUUAUUGCCGAAGGAACGGCCCGCGUCCGAUUAGCUAGUUGGUGAGGUAAUGGCUCACCAAGGCGACGAUCGGUAGCUGGUCUGAGAGGAUGACCAGCAUCACUGGGACUGAGACACGGCCCAGACUCCUACGGGAGGCAGCAGUGGGGAAUAUUGGACAAUGGGCGCAAGCCUGAUCCAGCCAUGCCGCGUGGAUGAUGAAGGCCUUAGGGUUGUAAAGUCCUUUUAACGGGGAAGAUAAUGACGGUACCCGUAGAAUAAGCCCGGCUAACGUUCGUGCCAGCAGCCGC
rnacentral:rRNA from 1 species